GAUGUACGCUGGCGGCGUGCUUAACACAUGCAAGUCGAACGAGAAGUGAAGACGGAAACCUUCGGGCGGAAGGCUUUAUUUCGAGUGGCGGACGGGUGAGUAACGCGUGGGUAACCUGCCUCAUACAGGGGGAUAACAGUUGGAAACGACUGUUAAUACCGCAUAAGACCACAGCACCGCAUGGUGCGGGGGUAAAAACUCCGGUGGUAUGAGAUGGACCCGCGUUCGAUUAGCCAGUUGGCGGGGUAACGGCCCACCAAAGCGACGAUCGAUAGCCGAUCUGAGAGGAUGACCGGCCACAUUGGGACUGAGACACGGCCCAAACUCCUACGGGAGGCAGCAGUGGGGAAUAUUGCACAAUGGGGGAAACCCUGAUGCAGCGACGCCGCGUGAGUGAAGAAGUAUUUCGGUAUGUAAAGCUCUAUCAGCAGGGAAGAAAAUGACGGUACCUGAGGAAGAAGCCCCGGCUAACUACGUG
rnacentral:rRNA from 1 species